rnacentral:rRNA from 1 species
UACGUAGGGGGCUAGCGUUGUCCGGAUUUAUUGGGCGUAAAGAGCGUGUAGGCGGCCAGGUAGGUCUGCUGUGAAAACUCGAGGCUCAACCUCGAGACGUCGGCGGAAGCCAUCUGGCUAGAGUCCGGAAGAGGAGAGUGGAAUUCCUGGUGUAGCGGUGAAAUGCGCAGAUAUCAGGAAGAGCACCCGUGGCGAAGGCGGCUCUCUGGGACGGUACUGACGCUGAGACGCGAAAGCGUGGGGAGCGAACAGG